CAACAAAUCUACACGAGAUUUUCUUGCAUUGAGAAACUUUAUUAUUCUUGCCUGAUAUCAACAAACAUUCCUGCAUAAUGACCAUAUACUCUAUGCUGAAAAUCUUCUGCCGUUCUGUUUUUUAUGCUACUGAAUUCUAAAGCUAGACCCAGUGCCUUGUUACAGUUACUGAAAAUAACGUGUCAGUGUUCUUCAUUAUUACUUUGUUAUGGCAUGAAAAAAGCAGCUUUGUUUAAUUUCUUUACUACUCAAAUUUGCUAGCAUGAAUCUUACUCUGAGACUCACGACAACGAUGAGGCCGGGGAUAAUGGUGAGCAUAUUGUGCCGAGAACAUUUGGUCCUUUGCUUGCAUUUAUUUCGUCGUCCAAUCAAGCUUUUACUGGUAAAGUCCUUGAUACAUUACCGAUAAAACCGAGAGGUGCUCCAUGUAAGAAGAGGCCUAAGCCAUUCCACGAGAGGUUCAAUUCUAGACAGAAAGGUAUUUAAUAAUGGCUUCCAUCCGCCUAAGUGCAACAUGAUGUGCCACUGUCCGUGAGCAGCAAUGUGCUAUUGGUGUUGUUGCAAUCCUGUAAUCUCAACUUCUUAGUAAUCGGUACACAAGAUAGGUCAUCUAUGCAGGGAAUAGACGGGUUUAUUAAGCACACAUAUCAUUAUACUGUGUUUUACGUUAAUUGCAAUGUCUGAGCUGCUCACAUUUUGUGAAACCAUCAUCUGUUGAAUAAAGCAUGAGUUGCUA